GACGAACGCUGGCGGCGUGCUUAACACAUGCAAGUCGAACGGGUCUGCCCUGUUUUUUGCGGGGUGGGUCAGUGGCGAACGGGUGAGUAACACGUGAGUAACCUGCCCCUCACUUCUGGAUAACCGCUUGAAAGGGUGGCUAAUACGGGGUGUUCUGGCUGUGCCGCAUGGUGUGGCUGGGAAAGAUUCACUUUUGUGGUGUUUUGGUGGGGGAUGGGCUCGCGGCCUAUCAGCUUGUUGGUGGGGUGAUGGCCUGCCAAGGCUUUGACGGGUAGCCGGCCUGAGAGGGUGGGCGGUCACACUGGGACUGAGAUACGGCCCAGACUCCUGCGGGAGGCAGCAGUGGGGGGUAUUGCACAAUGGGCGGAAGCCUGAUGCAGCGACGCCGCGUGAGGGAUGGAGGCCUUCGGGUUGUGAACCUCUUUCGCCGGUGAAGAAGGUCCUGCUCUUUGUGGUGGGGUUGACGGUAGCCGGGUUAUGAAGCGCCGGCUAACUACGUG
rnacentral:rRNA from 1 species